CCUCUUCCUCUGCAUCUCCACCCAGAGCCUAACAACGGUUUCUGGAGUCAUGUCCCUGCAGCUGCCACAUUCUAGCUCAUCAGAGAUGAGCAUAACAUGGACCAAAGCCUGUUCUCAGUUCCACAAAUGAGGGGUCCUCCGCCUCAGUCUCCCCCAUGCAGAUUCUACUGGUCCUCUCUUUCUAGGUGGCAGUACACUGACCCGAAAUUCCAGAAGCUGGGCUUCUGCUCCUGGCUCCACCAUCACCAGCUACAUGGCCCUGAGUGAGAAUUUCCUGUCUCUGGGCUUCAUUUCCCUCCCCCUCAAAACGGAUCUGGAAAAGCUGAUCUGCAAGCCUGUUCAAUCCACAAAAAUAUGAUUUCGUGUUUCCCUUUCAUCGCUACCUCGAUGCAACAUCCAUUACAGCAGGCUUAAAGAUCCAGACCACAAAGGAAGAUGAAAGACUCUGGCUGAUGAAGUCCUCCACCCUGAGAAGAGGAAGAAGAAAAAAAAAAAAGAGAGCGAGAAAGAAAGGAAAGAAAGAAAAGAACAGAGGGAGGGGGAAGGAAUAAUCCUUGACAAAUAUUUUCUGUUAAUAAAUUCCAU